rnacentral:rRNA from 1 species
UGGGGAAUCUUGCGCAAUGGGCGAAAGCCUGACGCAGCGACGCCGCGUGGGUGAUGAAGGCCUUCGGGUUGUAAAGCCCUGUGGGGAGGGACGAAUAAGUUCGACCUAAUACGUCGAGCGAUGACGGUACCUCUUUAGCAAGCACCGGCUAACUCUGUGCCAGCAGCCGCGGUAAUACAGAGGGUGCGAACGUUGUUCGGAUUUACUGGGCGUAAAGCGCGUGUAGGCGGUCUCGCAAGUCGGGUGUGAAAGCCCAGGGCUCAACCCUGGAAGUGCAUUCGAUACUGCGAGGCUAGAGUCCCGGAGAGGAUGGUGGAACUCUCGGUGUAGAGGUGAAAUUCGUAGAUAUCGAGAAGAACACCGGUGGCGAAGGCGGCCAUCUGGACGGUGACUGACGCUGAGACGCGAAAGCGUGGGGAGCAAACAG